CAUCGGAGCUGGGGAGCUUGCUGAAUGUCAUCACCAGCAAGAGUGAGGAGUAUUGGCAGCAGCAGGCAGGCGGGCAGGCUGGGAGUUUGCAUGGAAAUCAAGAAGUCUUGUCUUUCUCUUUUCAAAUGUUUUGGAAGGACAGUUAAGAAUAGCUCAGAAACUGGUCCCGUUCUUUUUGUGGGGAGAAUGACCAGAAGCAUAGAAGCUAAGUCUUCCAGCAAGUACAAGAUACCUCUUUCGGUGUUUGCAGUAAACCUAACAGAAUGACUGGCUGUCUGUAAAGGACUGUGCCAUGACACCUCAAAUGAAGGGAAUGGUAAAGCAAAGUAAUGACUCAAAGGCUACCACGGAGCUUCUACCUUUAACUCAUUGUGGCAAAGUUGGACAUUCCAAAGAUGGCGUAAAUGAACAUGACCAGAAAGAGCAGGAGGCCGAUGUUAAACAACGCAGGAAGGGACAUCAUCAAAGCAAAGAGCAGCGUGCGGAUCCCCUUGGCCCCUUUGAUCAGACGCAGGAUUCGGCCAAUCCUGGCAAGACGGAUCACUCGGAACAGGGUAACCUGUGUAAAAGUGGUCACAUAUGUCUGUGCCUGGUUAAAAGCACAGAGCUGCAUCCUUGAUGGAUCCAGUUUGUUUUUACCCCUGUGAGAAGUAAGAAGGUCAGGUACUGAAGUCUGUAAAUGCAGCAUGAUGGAACAGUUUAAUCAACAGAUUUGAAAUGUUUAAAGACAUAUACCUACAACCUCCUGGGAUACCUGAUGAAGAGUCUGAUGCUAGGUAGACCAACUAAACCAAACCAACAUGGUGGCUUUGAAAAUUGAAUUGAGUCAUUGAAGAGCAUCUUAUCCCAAUUAUCUCCUGCCUCUAAGCUUGAAAAUUCCUACCAACAGGUUUCCAAUGACCAUGACCAUCAUGUAAACAAUAAGGCACAUGGCUUGACCGGCGACCUCCAUGCAGUCCCACAUGGUCUCUAUCCACUCUCCACAAAGCACUCGGAACACAAUCAGGAAGGAGUGGAAGAAGUCAUUCAUGUGCC